AACGCACAUUGCGCCCCUUGGUAUUCCAUGGGGCAUGCCUGUUCGAGCGUCAUUUGUACCCUCAAGCUUUGCUUGGUGUUGGGCGUCUUGUCGUAUUACGACUCGCCUUGAAUUCAUUGGCAGCCGGCACUUUGGCCUAGGAGCGCAGCACAUUUUGCGAUCGUAGCCCGUUGUACUGGCGUCCAUCAAGAACAUUUACCACGUUUGACCUCGGAUCAGGUAGGGAUACCCGCUGAACUUAA
rnacentral:misc_RNA from 3 species